rnacentral:rRNA from 1 species
GACAGAGGUGCCGAGCGUUAGGCGGAAUCACUGGGCUUAAAGCGCGUGUAGGCGGACCGUUAAGUGCCCGUGUGAAAUCCCCCGGCUCAACCGGGGAACGGCCGGGCAUACUGGCGAUCUUGGGCCGUUCAGGGGCGACUGGAACAAGGCGGUGGAGCGGUGAAAUGCGUAGAUAUCGCUUGGAACGCCAGGAGAAAACGGUGCUGGGGUGUGACCGACGCUGGAGACACGGAAAGCCAGGGGAGCAAACGG